GCCUUCGUGGUGUAAUGGUCAGCACACUGAGCCGGUAUUUCAGAGGUCCGCGGUUCGAUUCCCGGCAAAGGCG
rnacentral:tRNA from 1 species